UAGCCUGGUAGCGGGGGAUAACUAUUGGAGACGAUAGCUAAUACCGCAUAAGAGUAGAUGUUGCAUGACAUUUACUUAAAAGGUGCAAUUGCAUCACUACCAGAUGGACCUGCGUUGUAUUAGCUAGUUGGUGAGGUAACGGCUCACCAAGGCAAUGAUACAUAGCCGACCUGAGAGGGUGAUCGGCCACACUGGGACUGAGACACGGCCCAG
rnacentral:rRNA from 1 species